ACCUCAGAAUGUGACCAUAUUUGAAGAUGGGGUCUUUAAAGAGGUAACUAAGCUAGAGGGCGCCUGGGUGGCUCAGUCGGUUGAGCGGCCGACUCUUGAUUUGGGCUCAGGUCACGAUCUCGCGGUUUGUGAGUUCGAGCCCUGCGUGCGUCGGGCUCUGUGCUGACAGCUCAGAGCCUGGAGCCUGCUUCAGGUUCUGUGUCUCCCUCUCUCUCCGCCCCUCCCCCACUCUCUCUCUCUCUCCUUCAAAAAUGAACAAACAUAAAAAUUUUUUUUUAAAAAAGAAGAAGAGGUGAUUAGGACACGGACACACGCAGAGGGGAGGCCACAUGAAGACACAGGAGGAAGACGGCCACCUCCGGGCAAGAAGAGAGGCCUCAGAAGAAACCAGCCUGCCCGCAUUUGGAUCUCAGCUGGCUGGUCUCCAGAGCUGUGAGGAAAUGAAUUUCUGCUCUUUAAGCCCCCCGGUCUGUACCUUGGUUGUAGCUCUAGCAAACUCCCACAGCGGCCCGCCAGCUGUAGCACGUGUUGGCUCUCCCACUGACGGUCCCUCACCUCUUCCCAGGGUCUCAGUGAGAGAAAGCCAGGCCUCCCAGCACCUUGCUCUCGUCCUGCACAAGGGUGAAGGGCAGAGAGGUUUCUCUUCUGCAAUUUCCACUAGCUCCUGGCCUCCAAGGAGGCUGGCUUCCAGAGGCAGGGACUUGACCAGGGUGUCCACCCAAGACCUUGACAGCUGCCCUUGGUGAUGCCCACAUCUGACACCUCCACGGGGUGACAGGGCCUGGCCACCACCGCCUCUGCCACUGCAAGGUGCCGAAGGGGUGCUGCAGCCAACCAGCAAGGAGGCUGCCCCAUGGAUUUCUGCCCUGAAGACAUUCUACACGACUGUGGGUCACCUGCGCACCUUGUCAAAACAGCACCUGCUAUCCCCCUGCUGCCCUCUGUCCCGCGGACUUGGCCCAUGGGAGGGUGUCUGGGAACCAUACACCUAGGGCAGGCAGUGCUGGCUCCCCGGUCCCCGGGGCCCGCCCCUCUGGGUGCCUCCCUCCAACCUUCGUGCAAGCCAGCACAUACACACGUGCCCCGGGAAGCCCACCCCACACGAUGACCAAGCACGCUUGGAAAUAUCUGGAUCCCCACGCAGACAUGACUCAGGCUCUGACUUCCCUCUAGUAUACGGGAUUGUUAAUUUUUUUUUUUUAUAGAUUAUAAUCAGCGUGCAUUCAGUUUUGAGUGCUGUUUCUUCACUCUACGCUGCAAGCACGUCCGUUCAGCACACUCUUCAUCAACAUAAUUCCCGGCAGCUCCCUGAUGGUCCCUUAAGUGGAUGCACCACUUCCCCCCCAGCACCCCCCAUUGUCGGACGUCGCGCGUGUUUUCAGAUUGACGCUGUUACAGAUGGCGUGCUUGCCGUCUAUUGGGUGACUGGUAUACACUUUCAGAAGAAGAAUGACCACCUUAGGAAGUAUGAGAGGCUUAGAUUCACGGGGUUCAAUUGCCAUCCAAGUGGUUUGUAGCAAUUGCCCCCGUCCACCAACAUUUCACAUGGGUAAAGGCACCAGAUCGUUAACCGUAAUUGCCGGAGGGGGCUCCGGGCUGGACUCCCCCUCCUUAACAACACCACGAAUGACUCUUGAAGCUCAAGGUUGUAUAAAAAGCAAGGGGCACUGGCUAAGUACCGAAUGCAGACCAUAGGGAUCAACUGUGUCGAGUUUCAAACCAAACAUUUAAGCAUAAAUAUGUACC
ensembl:lncRNA